rnacentral:antisense_RNA from 1 species
GCAAGACUGUGUGGCCUUGACAUGGGCCAGGGAACAGGCCACGUCCCCAGGCAUAGUCCCGGCUGAGGACACCACUGUUGGCACAGACGGUGCAGCUGAGAUACUAGCACACCUGGCCUUCAAGGCCUAGGUCUUUAGACAAUAACUUAACUCUUUUGACCAAUUGUCAAUUGG